UACAGAGGGUGCGAGCGUUGUCCGGAAUCACUGGGCGUAAAGGGCGCGUAGGCGGCCUGAUAAGUAGGGGGGUGAAAUCCUGUGGCUUAACUGCAGGGCUGCCUCCUAGACUGUUAGGCUCGAGCACGGUAGAGGCAGAUGGAAUUCCCCGGUGUAGCGGUGGAAUGCGUAGAGAUCGGGAAGAACAUCGGUGGCGAAGGCGACUACCUGGCCUGUUCUUGACGCUGAGGCGCGAAAGCUAGGGGAGCAAACGGGG
rnacentral:rRNA from 1 species